GUAAAUUUUGGGGUCGCGUAAGAAGCUUCACCGGCAUUAAUUGGUAAACCCACCUUCUUAUUUCCUCUAUAAAUAACCUUUGAAAAACUCAGACACAAGCCACCUCUCGAUUGCUUUUAUUCUUUCAAAAAGAAAAAUAAAAAACAAGAAAAUGAUGUUGGUAGUGAGUUUAACGGCAGCGGCGGGCCAUUUGGAUACGUGGCCUCCUAUAGUGACGCAGGCACAGGCAGCCCAUUCUUUUUGGGCUAGGAGCCUCGUUCACGCCGCCGACUGCGCUAGCUGCCCAGGAAGCUGACGGUAGAGGACUACCUAGCUCAACCUUAACUACCAGCCAGCUUGUAUUUUAUUUUGUUUUUAUUAUUUUAUCCUCGAAUUUGCAAGUUCGGGGUACUCUCGAACGACGCGGGCACUGGUAGCCCUUACUUCUUCCUUGUCAAAACUUCACCCGGCGGGGAGUGGUGCACAGAAACACCCACGAGCCUUUCAUUUAGAAUGAAAAACAAAUUCAAUUACACUAAGAUUUCUUUAUUAAUAAGGCCGCGUCGCCGACGCUACCUCAAUGUCAACUAGCCUUAUCUUUUUUUCUUUGUUAUUGUAUCCGCUGCUGCUUACUAGCUUGCUUAUCUUGUCUUCUUUUCUUUAUUAUUUGUAUCCGCUACUGCUUACUAGCUUGCUUAUCUAAUUCUAAUGUAUAUAUUAUUAUCAGCAAUGUUAAGUUUCCAUAUGCCUG
rnacentral:lncRNA from 1 species